CCGCCUGCCGCUCACCCAGUGGAGGCCUGCGCCCGCCCCGCAGUUACGAAAAAUAUUAUAAAAUCAUUGGCUUCCAAAGAGGUAAUCAAAAAUGACGAAGAAGCAAAAAAUGUAAAAAAAAGAAGAUAUUAUAAAGGUGGAUAUCAGGUAUCCAAUUAAUACAAUUUUAUAUUAGUUUUAUAAUGUUUUCGCAACGUUUUUGAUAUUUGUCAACUUAAAAUAUUUUAAAAUUU
rnacentral:lncRNA from 1 species